GACGAAGGGGGCUAGCGUUGUUCGGAAUUACUGGGCGUAAAGCGCGUGUAGGCGGUUGCCCAAGUCGGGUGUGAAAGCCUUGAGCUCAACUUAAGAAAUGCACUCGGUACUGGGUGACUAGAGGACCGGAGAGGAUAGUGGAAUUCCCAGUGUAGUGGUGAAAUACGUAGAGAUUGGGAAGAACACCAGUGGCGAAGGCGGCUAUCUGGACGGUUUCUGACGCUAAGACGCGAAAGCGUGGGGAGCAAACAGG
rnacentral:rRNA from 1 species